rnacentral:rRNA from 1 species
GACGAACGCUGGCGGCGUGCUUAACACAUGCAAGUCGAACGGAAAGGCCCUGCUUUUGUGGGGUGCUCGAGUGGCGAACGGGUGAGUAACACGUGAGUAACCUGCCCUUGACUUUGGGAUAACUUCAGGAAACUGGGGCUAAUACCGGAUAGGAGCUCCUGCUGCAUGGUGGGGGUUGGAAAGUUUCGGCGGUUGGGGAUGGACUCGCGGCUUAUCAGCUUGUUGGUGGGGUAGUGGCUUACCAAGGCUUUGACGGGUAGCCGGCCUGAGAGGGUGACCGGCCACAUUGGGACUGAGAUACGGCGCAGACUCCUACGGGAGGCAGCAGUGGGGAAUAUUGCACAAUGGGCGGAAGCCUGAUGCAGCAACGCCGCGUGCGGGAUGACGGCCUUCGGGUUGUAAACCGCUUUCACCUGUGACGAAGCGUGAGUGACGGUAAUGGGUAAAGAAGCACCGGCUAACUACGUG